CACAUGCAAGUCGAACGGCAGCGCGGGAGCAAUCCUGGCGGCGAGUGGCGAACGGGUGAGUAAUACAUCGGAACGUGCCCAAUCGUGGGGGAUAACGCAGCGAAAGCUGUGCUAAUACCGCAUAAGAUCUACGGAUGAAAGCAGGGGAUCGCAAGACCUUGCGCGAAUGGAGCGGCCGAUGGCAGAUUAGGUAGUUGGUGAGGUAAAGGCUCACCAAGCCUUCGAUCUGUAGCUGGUCUGAGAGGACGACCAGCCACACUGGGACUGAGACACGGCCCAGACUCCUACGGGAGGCAGCAGUGGGGAAUUUUGGACAAUGGGCGAAAGCCUGAUCCAGCCAUGCCGCGUGCAGGAUGAAGGCCUUCGGGUUGUAAACUGCUUUUGUACGGAACGAAACGGCCUUUUCUAAUAAAGAGGGCUAAUGACGGUACCGUAAGAAUAAGCACCGGCUAACUACGUGCCAGCAGCCGCGGUAAUACGUAGGGUGCAAGCGUUAAUCGGAAUUACUGGGCGUAAAGCGUGCGCAGGCGGUUAUGUAAGACAGUUGUGAAAUNCCCGGGCUCAACCUGGGAACUGCAUCUGUGACUGCAUAGCUAGAGUACGGUAGAGGGGGAUGGAAUUCCGCGUGUAGCAGUGAAAUGCGUAGAUAUGCGGAGGAACNCNNNUGGCGAAGGCAAUCCNNNUGGACCUGUACUGACGCUCAUGCACGAAAGCGUGGGGAGCAAACAGGAUUAGAUACCCU
rnacentral:rRNA from 1 species